AGUUGUUCAACAGAGGUGAGCUGCAAGUGCCCAGUGAGUUAGAACUUCAACCGUUUCUAUUUCCUCUUUCGCCACAGCACGGAUCUUCUUGUUUUCGUUUUUGUUUUUCUUUCUUAUUUUCUCUUUUAUUCCAUUGUACAAAAUAAUUUUAUAUAUGAUCUUAAAACAUUCUUCUAAACUACAAAUGCAUAAAUGUCUGUGAACAGUAUCUUUUGUGUACAAUUAGGUCCUUAAGUGUUUUUUUUUUAAACAAAGUUUUUCCUUAAAGAGGAGUUUAAAAUUAAAAUUAUUUGUCUAAAUGUUCAAUUUAGACACUGUGCAGAUGCUCUGGAUUGAAGGUAUUCAUAAAAUGGCUAUCACGUUUUGAAUCUUUGAAAAUUUUGGUUAAAUCUGCAGGCAUGUGCUUUUGCAGGAAGGACGCUGGACUCUUGCACUAUAAGUUGAAAACAUCGCUUAUAAACAAUACAUCACAGCACACUUGCAGAGAGAGCACUGGUUCAUCAAAAUAAGAUAUGAUCAAGGUACAAAAGAGUUAAAGAAGCUAUUUAUUUUAAUGUUUCCUUGGAGAGCACACUUGUUAUUGUAUGUAUGCAAAAGAUGAUCUUACUCUUGAGAGCCACUAGAACUCUUUGAAGAAAAAAAAAUGCUAUUUGCUAUAGGGAAAUCUUUCUGGAAAAGUAAUAAUUUCACCUUUGAGUCAGCUUCCCUGGACUCUUGCCUCAUACAUCUUCAGCCAAGGUCAGUCCAUUAUGAAAAUCCACUCUCCCUUCCCCAUGAAAGAACAUUCGAGGCAUACUUAUUAUAUUAACUGAAUUGUUACAUAUGUAUUAAAAGUUUAUAGUAUGUGUUAGCAUUUAUUUAUUUUUUGUAAGAUGUCUUUCCAGGAAUAUAUAACCCUGGUUCAUAAUAUUGUGCCCUUUGUAUCCAAGAUUUGAUAUAUGUGAGUAAACAUACAACUGUCUAUCUGGGGGCAAGUAAAUCGAAAACCAAGAAUCAUCUCAAGUGUUGGAAAUCAUAUGGUAUAGAAUUCAUUACCAUUUGUGAACUGGAAUGGGCAGCAAGAUAUUUGAAUAAAAAUUAAACUAGUUCUAUAAUUGGUGAUUUGAAAUUUUUUGAAAAAGCCACGGCAGUGAAAUAGUUUGGAUGUCCCCUCAAAAUCUCAUGCUGAAUUGUAAUCCCCAGUGUUGGAGGUGGGGACUGGUGGGAGGUGUUUGGGUCACUAUAGUGCGUUUUCAUGAGAUCUGGUCAUUUAAAAUCUGUAGCACCUCCCUCCCCUUCUUGCUCCUGUUUUUUCCAUGUGAAGAUGCCUGCCCCAGCUUUGCCUUCCACCAUGAGUAAAAGCUUCCCAAGUCCUCCCCAGAAGCAGAUGCUGGCGCUAUGCUUCUGGUACAGCCUGAAAAACCUUGAGCCAAUUAAACCUCAGGUAAGUCUUUACAGCAAUGCAAGAAUUGCCUAAUAUAGGCAGGAACAUACAUGUUCCAUGUUCUAUCCUAAACAUGGAAAUGCAGGUAUGUCAUAAAAUAAAACGAUCGGUUAAAACUGAAGAGAUGAAAAGUAACACCUAUAAAUACAUUUCCACUUUUCCACUUUUUCAUUUUGACUUGUCUGAAUGAAUAUUUUUCUUCAUCUAAUGAAUCUAAAUGCAUCUAAUUUGGAAUAAAUUAUCUAUAUUCCCAAUAAAUUCCAUUUAAUUUCAUCUGUUUUUAAAUUUUGUCAAAAGAAGAAAAACAGAAAUCAAGGCCAAGAAAAGAAAAAUUACACACUUAAUAUCAUCAUCCAUUAUUAAAACCUAGGUUGCCAGGCAGAAUACCAUGCCUUAGAGAUUACACUGAGAGUAAAAGAUGAUUAUAGAUUUACACUCAAUAUCUCAUUUAAAGUUUGCUCAUGUUUAGCUAUCCAAAUCUGAUUCCAUAAGACUAUUUUUGUCGCAAGUAACUAUGGUGGCUAUCCUCAAAAGAUCUGUAAGAAAAGCAUUGCAUAGAAUCAGAGAAAAGGUUGAACAAUUUAAUAAAUUGGAAAGCCAAAUCCAACCUAGGAAUCUCAGCAACAGUUAUACAUGGAUGUUCCUUCUGCCUCCCAGAGAUGGCUGCCUGAUACUCAGAUCCCUAAUACUUCUGGGAUCUGAUUGGCUCAGAUUUAAGUUAGGUGUCUAGGUGUCUACCCAAAUUUUCCAGGAGUCUUGCAACAGCAAUUGGCUUCUAAAGCCCACUUUGUUGGUGGAGCUUGGAUUAUCAGAGCAAUUAUGUUGGAAAGCAAUCCCAGUAGAUGUCAUCUAAUUGGUACCAUUUGGACUAGAGGCAAUUAGACGGUUUGCAUAUAUUUUAAAUUAUUAUUGUAGACAUGAAUCUAUUACUGUAUUUUCCACAUUUUGAGUUACUAAAAGGAUUAUAUUCCACAGGCUUUAAUAAAUAGGUGGAUGGAUGAUGAUGAUAACUUUAGUGAUAAUUGAUAAUUGCUUUAGGUUCCAGAUGAUAUUAGAGUAAAUAUAGUAUGCUGUCAUCAGACAUAGAAAAAAAUAGAAAGAAACAGAGCAGAUGAGAGAAGGAGAGAAAGGGAGAGAGCUGAAGCAAUGGAGAUAGAGAGCUAGAAGGAGAUAAUUUUUCUAAAAUUUGUGAAUGGGGCCGGGUGCAGUGGCUCAUGCGUGUAAUCCCAGCACUUUGGGAGAUUGAGGCAGGUGGAUCACCUGAGGUCAGGAGUUCGAGACCAGCCUGGCCAAUGUGCUGAAACCCUGUCUCUACUAAAAAUACAAAAAUUAGCCAGAUGUGGUGGUGGGCACCUGUAAUCCCAGGUACUCGGGAGGCUGAGGCAGGAGAAUCGCUUGAACCUGGGAGGUGGAAGUUGCAGUAAGCCAAGAUCACACCACUGCACUCCAGCCUGAGUGACAAAGCAACACUCCAUCUCGAAAAAAUAAAAUUUGUUAAUGGUUUAAAAAUAAUUAGACUUGGAAGAUUAUCAUGUAAGUUCCAAUUAAACUUAUUUCUAUAUAAGCUGAGCUGAGAACUACAAACAUUAUCAAUACAUAAUAGUAGUUGCCUUUUCGUUGCAUGCUAAGGCUCCCCCGUAAUAUCGGAAGUACUUGAACAGACACAUUUUGUGUAAGGACAUUAAGGGCUCCCAGUAGUUCCUGGCUCCAAAGGCUUGUUUUAAACAAAGGUCAUUAAUGAGUCUCCUGCUCAUGCCACAUAUCAUUCAUAUGUGGCAUGGUUGUAGAACUUCCUAAUCUUUACAAGAACCAAAGAAGCCUGGAAAUGCCCCAUUCAGAAAAAUAUGUUUGAGACUUUGCAAAGCUCCUUUCUCUAAUCCUUAUGAUUUCUUCUUUCACAGUGAGCUCAAGAUGUCUUUGUUGAAACAGAACCUCCCGAAGUUACAGUAUUGGUUUUGGGGCUCCACACAGAGAACACAUCACGGAAGCUAUAAUUGAGGAAGACAAAGCUGUCAGGACGACACCAAGAGAGUUAGAAAGCCCAAGAGUGGAGCAUUCUUCACCAUGAUUCCACCUGACACUUGGCUGAAAGCAUUUUGCACUAAUUUGCUUUGUGCCCGUUCAGACAAUCUAAAAAGAAAGGAUGGGGGGACAACAAGUGUCUAUUACACAGAAUAAACAGCCUCUGGCAAAUGAAUA
rnacentral:lncRNA from 1 species